rnacentral:rRNA from 1 species
CAGUAGCCGCGGGAAUACGCAGGUGGCAAGCGUUGUCCGGAAUUAUUGGGCGUAAAUGGCUCGCAGGCGGUUUCUUAAGUCUGAUGUGAAAGCCCCCGGCUCAACCGGGGAGGGUCAUUGGAAACUGGGAAACUUGAGUGCAGAAGAGGAGAGUGGAAUUCCACGUGUAGCGGUGAAAUGCGUAGAGAUGUGGAGGAACACCAGUGGCGAAGGCGACUCUCUGGUCUGUAACUGACGCUGAGGAGCGAAAGCGUGGGGAGCGAACAGGAUUAGAGACCCCUGUAGUCCCUGUCUCUUAUAC